rnacentral:tRNA from 1 species
GGAGGGUACAGCUCAGUGGUAGAGUGCAUGCUUGGCCCGCACGAGGUCCUGGGUUCAAUCCCCAGCACCUCCA